rnacentral:lncRNA from 1 species
AUGACCCAGACCACAGAUGAAAUUGUGCCAUAUGUGGAAGAAACACCUGGCUCUUUUUAUUUUACUGCAGAGAUACUAACAGAGCACAACAUAAAAUAUUCCACUCAAAAAGUGAUUCUGAGAAAAUAUGGAAGCUGUAACCUUAAUAGUUUACACGUAAAGAAAGUCGACCAAAGUGUGUGUAAUUCUGAGGGUGAGAAAGCAAUUAUAAUGGAAUUCAUCAAUGUUUGUCAACUACCCAUUACAAACCAUCUGAACGUAAUAAAUGUGGCAAAGCUUUUGAGUUCUGCUCAAUCUUCACAGAACAUAAGAAAAUUUUACUAAAAUGAAAUGCUACAAAUGUGAAGAAUGAGGUAAAGACCAUAGGUUGUUCUCAGAUUUUACUAUGCAGAAGAGAAUUUAUACUGCAGAGAGUUACUACACAUGUGAAAAAUGUGGCAAAGCCUUUAAGAAGCUCUCAAACAUUACUGAACAUGAGACAGUUCAUACAGGAGUGAACGUCUACAAAUGUGAAGAAUGUGGAAAAAUUUUAGUUACUCCUCAAUCCUUAUUAAACACAAGAAAAAUCAUACUGGAGACAUAUCCUACAAAUGAGAUUAAUGUGGCAAAGUCUUUAAGUGGUUCUCAGACUUUGGUAAUCAUACAGAAUUCAUACUUGAGAGAAACCCUACAAAUGUGAAUGUUAAAGAGACUAUAUGUGGGUUUCAGAACU